UACGUAGGUGGCAAGCGUUAUCCGGAUUUAUUGGGCGUAAAGGGAACGCAGGCGGUCUUUUAAGUCUGAUGUGAAAGCCUUCGGCUUAACCGGAGUAGUGCAUUGGAAACUGGGAGACUUGAGUGCAGAAGAGGAGAGUGGAACUCCAUGUGUAGCGGUGAAAUGCGUAGAUAUAUGGAAGAACACCAGUGGCGAAAGCGGCUCUCUGGGCCGUCACUGACGCUGAGGCGCGAAAGCUGGGGGAGCGAACAGG
rnacentral:rRNA from 1 species